rnacentral:rRNA from 1 species
AUCAACUCCCAACCCUAUGUGACUUACCACUUGUUGCUUCGGCGCGCGCUUCGGCGCCGCCGAGGACACUUAAACUCUUUGUUUUUAUAAGCAUUUCUGAGUGGCCGAAAGGCAAAAAUACAAAUGAAUCAAAACUUUCAACAACGGAUCUCUUGGUUCUGGCAUCGAUGAAGAACGCAGCGAAAUGCGAUAAGUAAUGUGAAUUGCAGAAUUCAGUGAAUCAUCGAAUCUUUGAACGCACAUUGCGCCCGCCAGCAUUCUGGCGGGCAUGCCUGUUCGAGCGUCAUUUCAACCCUCGAGCCCGACUCUUUUGAGGACGGCUCGGCGUUGGGGGACGGCAGACUCCCCCCGGCAUCUCGCCGGGGACGCCGCCCCCGAAAUCUAGUGGCGGCCCUCCGAGGCGACCUCUGCGUAGUAACUUGUUCUCGCACCGGAAAGCUCAGAGCGGCCACGCCGUAAAACCCCAACUUUUUUCAGGUUGACCUCGAAUCAGGUAGGACUACCCGCUGAACUUAAGCAUAUCAAUAAGCGGAGGAAAAAGAAAACCC